UAAACAGAACUGCUUCCGUCUUGCGGAAGAACAUCGUAGCCGGAACUACUUCUCUCUGUUUAUGUCAAUGAAGAAUCACAAAGGUAAUGGGUUACUCUGCCACGGUACCCCCGAAGCAAUCUAAAAUAGUCCGAAUAUAAACACUUAUUAUAGGUGUACCCUAGUGAUUCAGGACAAGCUAAAAACACAGUUUGGAAAAUGGAUUCAUGAUGUACUCGCUUAUUAUGUACAUUUUUCUACAUUUUGUAGAAAAAUUCAAAUUUUAUUGUUCUUUGUGGAUUGUAACAGUAGUACACUCUGUACAUGGCUUUAGUUCAUAGGUUCGAUUUUACAGAGGUAUGGCAUUACAUUUGUCAAGUUAUUUGAACAGACAUGCAUGAUUUUUGUGUGUAUAUUAUUAUUAUUAUUAUUUUUCAGGAUGACAUGAUCAGGAGGUGGUGGUGUUCUGUUCUCCUGGACAGCUUUACUCCGCAAAUAGCUCAACCACUGAGGGGGAGAACUUCACCAUUCACCAUGUCUUCAGGCAGAGUCCAGCAAAGCAGCUUCCCCUGGAAAUCCUCAUGGAAGUUAUUUUGUCAGCGGGUGACUCUGCAUAUUUGACACUUUCUCUGGUUUGCAGAUGGUUUAGGGAUGUGCUCCGAAGUUUUUUGGAAAGCGGCACAGUUUGCCUGGCUAGACAGUAAGAUUUCCCCGUUUAAUGCUCAUUCUCCAAUUGAGUUCAGACGGAUGUACAGCAUCAGGGAACACUUGCAGUGCAGAGCCCUUUUCAAGUUUAACCCACCAGGGUACAGGGAAGAGACCGGCGUGGUGAUCUUCUGGGCUUUUGUUUACACAGGAUUUUGUUCCAAGGACUGUUUUUUAUUUUUUAUUUUUAUUUUUUGUGGCAUGAAACACAUUUGUGUGUUAAGUUCAUUGAAGGGAAAUAGAGAAUGGACUGAGAUCAGCUGGUUUUGAUGUAUUAAUUGAUGUAAUUUAAAGUUAAACUUUGCAGUGUAUAAUGUUUUAAUAAAAAAGCUAUGGCAAA